rnacentral:rRNA from 1 species
ACGCUCGACACCUACGGAGGCAGCAGUGGGGAAUAUUGCACAAUGGGGGAAACCCUGAUGCAUCGACGCCGCGUGAAGGAAGAAGUAUCUCGGUAUGUAAACUUCUAUCAGCAGGGAAGAAAGUGACGGUACCUGACUAAGAAGCCCCGGCUAACUACGUGUCAGCAGCCGCGGUAAUCUGAGCGGGCUGGCAAGGC